GUGGGGAAUAUUGGACAAUGGGCGCAAGCCUGAUCCAGCAAUGCCGCGUGUGUGAAGAAGGCCUGCGGGUUGUAAAGCACUUUCAGUGGGGAGGAAGGCCUCAAUGCUAAUAGUAUUGAGGAUUGACGUUACCCACAGAAGAAGCACCGGCUAACUCUGUGCCAGCAGCCGCGGUAAUACAGAGGGUGCAAGCGUUAAUCGGAAUUACUGGGCGUAAAGGGUGCGUAGGUGGUUUUUUAAGUCAGAUGUGAAAUCCCUGGGCUCAACCUAGGAAUUGCAUUUGAUACUGAAUAACUUGAGUAUGGUAGAGGGAAGUGGAAUUUCCAGUGUAGCGGUGAAAUGCGUAGAUAUUGGAAGGAACAUCAGUGGCGAAGGCGACUUCCUGGACCAUUACUGACACUGAGGCACGAAAGCGUGGGGAGCGAACAGGAUUAGAAACCCGAGUAGUCC
rnacentral:rRNA from 1 species